rnacentral:rRNA from 1 species
CUUUCUUUUGCUGGCGACCGGCGCACGGGUGAGUAACACGUAUCCAACCUGCCCUUUACUCGGGGAUAGCCUUUCGAAAGAAAGAUUAAUACCCGAUAGCAUAAUGAUUCCGCAUGGUUUCAUUAUUAAAGGAUUCCGGUAAAGGAUGGGGAUGCGUUCCAUUAGGUUGUUGGUGAGGUAACGGCUCACCAAGCCUUCGAUGGAUAGGGGUUCUGAGAGGAAGGUCCCCCACAUUGGAACUGAGACACGGUCCGA